AGCCGGACAUAAUCUGGUGUUUAUUGAAUAACCCCGACAGUGCUAGCAGUAUAAUUUGAGGUGACUUGAGGUACAGCUAGGUGCCAUGGCACAAGAUUUAAAAACCACUGAUCUAUAUAAUAAAUGUAGCGGGAUCGGUAUCUCACAGUUGUAUUAACAUAACUGAGCUUAAGGAAAAAACAGGAAACCUUUGGCAUAUAGAGGGUGAAUGUGUCAGGUUUGUGGAUAUUGAAUUACUUCUCUUUGUGAAAAAGUUCUCAUCUGAUGCAAUUGAAGAAAACAAUAAUAAUAAUUGGGUCGACUGAGCUUUAUCUGAUGACAACCUGCAGGGCAUAGACUUAAUGUUCAUAUUCUUCAAUUUAUGAAACAUUUCCUAUAGCAGUAAUGAUGUUAUUCUGUUUUGCUACAUUAAAAAAAAGACUUUGAAGGUGCAGUGUAGACAUAAAGAACAUUUUCAUCAUUUCACACUGUAAACAGAAGAAUUGCAUCCAUACUUCCU